rnacentral:rRNA from 1 species
GAUGAACGCUGGCGGCGUGCCUAAUACAUGCAAGUCGAGCGAACAGAUGAGGAGCUUGCUCCUCUGACGUUAGCGGCGGACGGGUGAGUAACACGUGGAUAACCUACCUAUAAGACUGGGAUCACUUCGGGAAACCGGAGCUAAUACCGGAUAAUAUAUUGAACCGCAUGGUUCAAUAGUGAAAGACGGCUUUGCUGUCACUUAUAGAUGGAUCCGCGCCGCAUUAGCUAGUUGGUAAGGUAACGGCUUACCAAGGCAACGAUGCGUAGCCGACCUGAGAGGGUGAUCGGCCACACGGGAACUGAGACACGGUCCAGACUCCUACGGGAGGCAGCAGUAGGGAAUCUUCCGCAAUGGGCGAAAGCCUGACGGAGCAACGCCGCGUGAGUGAUGAAGGUCUUCGGAUCGUAAAACUCUGUUAUUAGGGAAGAACAGAUGUGUAAGUAACUAUGCACUUCUUGACGGUACCUAAUCAGAAAGCCACGGCUAACUACGUG